rnacentral:rRNA from 1 species
UCGGGAAUUUUGGGCAAUGGGGGAAACCCUGACCCAGCAACGCCGCGUGAAGGAUGAAGUAUUUCGGUAUGUAAACUUCGAAAGAAUAGGAAGAAUAAAUGACGGUACUAUUUAUAAGGUCCGGCUAACUACGUGCCAGCAGCCGCGGUAAUACGUAGGGACCAAGCGUUGUUCGGAUUUACUGGGCGUAAAGGGCGCGUAGGCGGCAAUUCAAGUCAUCUGUGAAAUCUCCGGGCUUAACUCGGAACGGUCAACUGAUACUGUCACACUAGAGUACAGAAGGGGCAAUCGGAAUUCUUGGUGUAGCGGUGAAAUGCGUAGAUAUCAAGAGGAACACCUGAGGCGAAGGCGGGUUGCUGGGCUGAUACUGACGCUGAGGCGCGAAAGCUAGGGUAGCAAACGGGAUUAGAUACCCCAGUAGUCCCUGAGCGGGCUGGCAAGGCGCAU